rnacentral:rRNA from 1 species
UACGUAGGCAGCGAGCGUUGUUCGGAGUUACUGGGCGUAAAGGGUGUGUAGGCGGUUGUUUAAGUUUGGUGUGAAAUCUCCCGGCUCAACUGGGAGGGUGCGCCGAAUACUGAAUGACUUCGAGUGCGGGAGAGGAGAGUGGAAUUCCUGGUGUAGCGGUGAAAUGCGUAGAUAUCAGGAGGAACACCGGUGGCGAAGGCGGGUCUCUGGGCCGAUACUGACGCUGAGGAGCGAAAGCAUGGGUAGCGAACAGG